GUGAUUGCGUAUGCAGCCGUGUGGACAUAUAAAGCGUCGCUGAAGGCACGCUUGUGUUUGCCUUGUAGCGUCAAUACAGUGGUUCAUGCGCAGUCAGGUAGUAUGAGUCCGCGCGCGUGGAGGUGAACCCGCACAUGAAAACGGAUUGAAAACUCCUUAUAUCCCCC
rnacentral:lncRNA from 1 species